UACCAGCACCCCGAGUGGUCGGGACGUUUAUUGGGCCUAAAGCAUCCGUAGCCGGUUCUGCAAGUCUUCCGUUAAAUCCAACUGCUUAACAGGUGGGCUGCGGAAGAUACUAUAGAGCUAGGAGGCGGGAGAGGCAAGCGGUACUCGAUGGGUAGGGGUAAAAUCCGUUGAUCCAUUGAAGACCACCAGUGGCGAAGGCGGCUUGCCAGAACGCGCUCGACGGUGAGGGAUGAAAGCUGGGGGAGCAAACCGG
rnacentral:rRNA from 1 species